CGCUGCGGCGCGAUGGCGGCGGGGCUGGCGCGGCUCCUGUUGCUCCUUGGGCUCUCGGCCCGCGGGCCCGCGCCGGCAGGUGCCGCGAAGAUGAAGGUGGUGGAGGAGCCCAACACGUUCGGGUGAGCAGCCUCGCGGGCUGGCGGCUCGGGCGGGGGGACGGCCCGGGCCCGUUCCCCGCUGACCUUGCCGCUUCUCGUAGGGUGAACAACCCGUUCUUGCCCCAGGCCAGUCGCCUCCAGGCCAAGAGGGACCCUUCACCCGUGUCUGGUACAAGUAUGAGUUCUGUCCGUUCCACAAUGUGACCCAGCACGAGCAGACCUUCCGCUGGAACGCCUACAGUGGGAUCCUCGGCAUCUGGCACGAGUGGGAGAUUGCCAACAACACCUUCACGGGCAUGUGGAUGAGGGACGGUGACGCCUGCCGUUCCCGGAGCCGACAGAGCAAGGUGGGGCCUCAGACGGGAGCCCGGGAAGGAGGGGCCCCAGUCUUCCCAACCCACCCACCCACAUUCCCUCCCCAGGUGGAGCUGGCGUGUGGAAAAAGCAACCGGCUGGCCCACGUGUCCGAGCCGAGCACCUGCAUCUACGCGCUGAUGUUCGAGACCCCCCUCGUCUGCCACCCCCACGCCUUGCUAGGUAGGGGUACAGGAUGCAGUUGAGCCCAGUGGGGUCAGCCAUGCACGCAGCCCUGCUGGAGGCCCUGCAGUGGUGGGGGCCAGGGUUGGGACAUAGGGUGCAGCUGAGCCUGGCUUCUCUUGGGUCCUCAGUGUAUCCGACCCUGCCAGAGGCCCUGCAGCGGCGGUGGGACCAGGUAGAGCAGGACCUGGCCGACGAGCUGAUCACCCCCCAGGUAGGCGUGUGCUCGGGGUGGCCCCUAGCGGGCCUGGCUGGGAGCUGGGUGCUGCCCCUGCAUCCUCCACCUUCAGGGUCAUGAGAAGUUGCUGAGGACACUUUUUGAGGAUGCUGGCUACUUAAAGACCCCAGAAGAAAACGAACCCACCCAGCUGGAGGGAGGUCCCGACAGCUUGGGGUUUGAGACCUUGGAAAACUGCAGGAAGGUACCUUAUUGGGGGCAGGUGGCGGCACACCGUAGCGCCCCCACCACCUGAGCUUUCCCUUGAACUCUUUUUGUCGUAGGCUCAUAAAGAACUGUCCAAGGAGAUCAAAAGACUGAAAGGUUUGCUCACCCAGCACGGCAUCCCCUACAGGAGGCCCACAGAAACUUCCAACUUGGAGCACUUGGGCCACAAGACGCCCAGAGCCAAGCCUCCAGAGCAGCUGCGGGGUGACCCAGGACUGCGUGGGAGUUUGUGACCUUGUGGUGGGAGGGCAGAGGUGGACACGGCCGAGAGCCCUACAGAGAAGCUGGCUGGUAGGACCCCCAGGGACCAGCUGGCCAGGCUUGUGCUCAGAGAAGCAGACAAAACAAAGAUUCAAGGUUUUAAUUAAUUCCCAUACUGAUAAAAAUAACUCCAUGAAUUCUGUAAACCAUUGCAUAAAUGCUAUAGUGUAAAAAAAUUUAAACAAGUGUUAACUUUAAACAGUU
rnacentral:sRNA from 1 species